CUCAAUUUCCCUCCAUUCAGCUGUGAGCUACAGGUGUUUCAAGAUGGCUUCUAAACAAGUCAUGGAGCAGAAACUCAGAGCACAGCAUAGCUUGUAGCUGCAUUGUAUCAAGAAACUCCAAGAGCACGCUGGGAGCUCACACCUCUGCACAGACCAAAAAUAUUCUAUAAUAAGGCCAUGGCCGGGAGGAGAGGGAGGUGAUGAUCCUCACAUUGUGCUUAAGCUCCUCUGUAACUGCGAACCUGAAGCUCAACAAAAACAAGAAGAAAGCUGUUUGUGAUCAAUGCUGGGGUGUUUGUCGUUGGAUAUUAGAGACUUUUCUGCAACUAUCUCUGAUUUCUAUCCAGUUUGAUUUUGAUCCAGUUAUACAACUGUUGGUUUGAAUUUUGUUGCUAAAUUUAGAGGGUAUGUUCCCAAAAUAAGAUUUUUAUUCAGUUGAAAAGGCAAUAUGUAUAUGCUUGCAGACCUGAGAUGAAGUCUUAGUAUUUAUUGCUCCUUGCUUGUAUUUUAGAAAUGUAUUGAUAUUCACAAUCUGAACAUAAAGUUUCCAAUUUGCUCUUAAAGAAAUGCUUUCCUGGUUUUUGAUCUUCUUGCACUCAU